GAGCAGUGAUGACUCUUGUGUCAAUUGUGGUGAUGGGUUUCAUCACAAACGUCUACUUCGGUUGCGAUAAAUGGCACAUCUGAGCUC